UACGGGGGAGCAAGCGUUGUUCGGAUUUACUGGGCGUAAAGGGCGCGUAGGCGGCCACCGCAAGUCAGUUGUGAAAUCUCUGGGCUUAACCCAGAAAGGUCAACUGAUACUGCGGGGCUAGAGUGCAGAAGGGGCAACUGGAAUUCUCGGUGUAGCGGUGAAAUGCGUAGAUAUCGAGAGGAACACCUGCGGCGAAGGCGGGUUGCUGGGCUGACACUGACGCUGAUGCGCGAAAGCUAGGGAGCGAACGGG
rnacentral:rRNA from 1 species